rnacentral:snRNA from 1 species
AUACCUUUCUCGGCCUUUUGGCUAAGAUCAAGUGUAGUAUCUGUUCUUAUCAGUUUAAUAUCUGAUAUGUGGAUCAUCGAUUCACACGAUAUUAACUCAAUUUUUUUAGGGAGAGGGUUCAUUAUGGUAGCUUGCUAUUGGGGCUCUCAAGUGUUGUCUUGGCAUUACACUGUAGCCUAGAUCUGGCACACCCCUC